CGCGCGGCAGCCCGUGCCUGCGCACUGCUCUGUGCCCGCGCCUAUGUCCAGCAGGGGGCGCGCAGCGGCGGUAUCCGAGCGAGGGCGCGGUGGCCUCUGACAGGAAUGACUGUGCGCACGUGCGUUUCACAGCAGUGGAAGUCUUCACACCGGAAAUUUGACUUUGGCCGUUGCUCCAUUUCUCCUUACGCACUGUCUUUCCUUGUGCCCUCGUCACUCCUGGCACCGGGGGAAGCGCUUCCCCCGCCUCUGGCCGGGGGCUGCGGCGCGACCGAAGGCGAGGCGGCGGCGAGGAACCUUCUGGAAUUUGGCCGUCGGGGCAGGCGUCGAGUUUACAGGAGAAGGCGCGGUGUCUCGGAAUGAGCGGAGUCGCCCUCAGUUAAGGAGCGAGGGAAGCCUCGGGGGUCCCCAGCCGGAAAUGAAAACUGGACAUUUGACAUUUGAACCUCUCUCCUGUGUUUGGAAAACUCUCCAUCAAUGUGAUACAAUGGUGGAAAGCGGGGUCUAGGCCCAAUGGAACAGACGGAGUCUCGCUCUGUUGCCCAGGCUGGAGUGCAGUGGUGGGAUCUCGGCUCACUGCAACCUUCGCCUCCCAGAUUCCAGCGAUUCUUGUGCCUCAGCCUCACAAGUAGCCCAUGCUGGAACUGCUGUGGGAAGCAUCAUCUUCUCCUUCACCUGCUGCCCAUACCCAUACCUCAUGUUCAGCUACAUCCAGAGAAGCUACUUCCAAAAGACUGCCUGUUGCCUCUUCUCAAAUAUUGCCAUGGCACUGAGAGUCCGAUUCAUCGCUAUGUUUGAGGCAAAAGGCACACGCAUCCAAUGGAGGAAUAUGGGCAGUGUACUUGGAGAGUUUAACUUCACUCAGGUGCUGCUGCUCUGCUGCUGGACUCUUUCUUUUACUGCUUAAUAGCCUGGUAUGUGGAGUCCAUCUUCCCAGGGAAGUAUGGUACACCCAGGCCUUGGUACUUCUUUGCUCUGUAGCAUCUGGUGGCCCUGCCCACGGUCUUGCCUGCUGAUCCUGUCUCUGCACAAGUACUUAUUAGGACCUCUACAAAGGCUGCCACGCUUGCCCAUCUUGGAGUGUGGGGAACCCUCCUACUGGCAUGGAAAGCCUGUACCUGUUACCCAAUCAUUGCUGGACAUGAUGGGUCCUGUAAAAACACCGAACAGCGAGUUCAUUGAGAAAGAGCCUGCAGAUUUGAUCAAAGGAAUUGAAAUUUAGCAUCUAUAUAAGGUGUAUCGCAGAGGAAGGACUAAACACAUAGCAGUCAAAUGUCUGACCAUGAACAUGUAUAGAGGGCAGAUCACUGUUCUAGGACACAGCGGAGCAGGAAAAACCACCACCUGCUUCAUGCUCACAGGUUUGAAUCUCUAUUUACUGACUUGGAACUCAGGCAGGUAGAGCUGGGCAUCUCCAGCUUUGGGACCUCUGUCACGACCAUGGAGGAUGUCUUCAUAAGGUAAGCACGUAUAAAACUGUAAGACUCCAAGGUUCUUAGGGUUGGAAGGGAUCUUAAAGGUCAUCUGUCUAAACAUUGCCUGAUGCUUGUAUCUUUUCUGUAGCAACCUCACUGAAUGGCCUUCCACCCUCUGACUAGUACUUCCAAUAAUAGAGAUACCUGAAUCUUGGCUCACUGCAGACUCUGCAUCCCAGGUUCAAGCAAUUCUCCUGCCUCAGCCUCCUGAGUAGCUGGGACUACAGGAGCCUGGCACCACACCUGACUGAUUUUUGUAUUUUUGGUACAGAUGAGGUUUCACUAUGUUGGCCAGGCUGGUCUCAAACUGCCGACCUCAAGUAAUCUGCCUGCCUCAACCUUCCAAAGUGCCUGAGAUUACAGGUAAUUUUUGUAUUUUUAUUAGAGGUGGGGAUUCACCACGUUGGCCAGGCUGGUCUCGAGCUCUUGACCUCAAGUGAUCCACCCACCUUGGCCUCCCAAAGUGCUGGGAUUACAGGCAUGAGCCAUUGCACCUGGCCUUUAAACAAAUUUUAUUGAUACAUAAUGUGCAUAUGUAUGGGAUACAUGUGAUAUUUUGAUACAUGCAUAUUCUACUUGAGACUUGAUUGAUGUCUGGCUAUGGACAUCUUCCACGAGUUUAGAAUCCCCAGCUAUUAAUAUCUGUUCAUACAGGGCCUCUGCUCAAAUAUCUCCUUUUGUUUUGGAACUCCAAUUAGACAUAUUAGAUCUUAUCACUCUACUAUGUGAGUUUUAACUUUUUAAAUAUUUUCCAACUCUUUGUCUCUCUGAGCUGCACUCUACAUAAUAUCUUCUGAUCUACAUCCAGGUCACUGAGUUUCUCUGCAGAUGUUUCUUAUCUUCAGCUAAACACUUCCAUUGAGAGUAUUUUCUUCUUUGUGGAGAUGAGGUCUCAUUAUGUUGACCAGGUUGGUCUCGAACUCCUAGGCUCAAGCUAUCCACCCCCUUGGCCUCCCAAAGUGCUGGGAUUACAGGCAUGAGCCACUGCACACAGCCAGUUUUUAAAAUACUUACAUUUUUGUUGAAGUAUAACAUAUAUACCAAAAGGUAUGCAAUUAUUAAACCUGUAGCUCAGUUUUCAUUUUUUGAGUUGUUGAAAUUUUUAUAUAUUCUAGAUAUAAAUCUUUGUCAGAUACAUGUUUUAUCUACAUUUUCUUCCAGUAUGUGGCUUGCUUCUUCAUAUUCUUAGUGGUAGCUUUUUUUUUUUUUUUUUUUUGAGACAGGGUCAUACUCUGUCACCUAGGCUGGAGUACAGUGGCAUGAUCUUGGCUCACUGCAACCUCUGCCAUCCAGGUUCAAGGGAUUCCCCUGCCUCAGCCUCCCGAGUAGCUGGGACUACAGGUGCAUGCCACCACGCCCAGCUAACUUUUUGUAUUUUGGUAGAGACAGGGUUUCACCAUGUUGGCCAGGCUGGUCUUAAACUCCUGACCUCAGGUGAUCCGUCCACCUCAGCCUCCCAAAGUGCUGGGAUUACAGGCGUAAGCCACCAUGCCUGGCCCCUAAAUUUUUUUUGUAGUUACUGUGUUCUGUAUCCUUCCUAAAAAAUAUUUCCCUACCCUUAGGUCACAAAGUCUGCUGCUGGUGGUGAGUACUGGAGGGUGCUGGGAUUCUUCAGCUGCAUAUCACAGGCAGCUUUUCCUGGGGACCCCUGCCCAGAACCAGAACCAUCUAGGAAGUCUAGGUUGGCAGCUCUGCCCCAGUAGGGACACAGGGUGUGAGAUCUCCCUCAUCACUGACCCUUGUUAGAAGAAGACUCAAGUUCCCAGCUUUGUUAGGAGCAGAGGGACCUGCUUUAGGGUCUCUAUGUGGCCCCCCAAGAAUUGCUACUUCAAGCUAGUAAGGGGCAGUACUUUGGGGACAUAUGUUUAUUGUCCAGAAAUACCUCACCAGGGUAGUGAUGGGUUGAAGUAUUUAAUUGUGGUUGCAUUGAGUAAUUUGCAGCUCCCUGGUUAU